CGGGAGGGUGGAGUGUCCUGUUUACAGCGCUGUGGGGUAUUAUCGGCCCAUCGCAUGUAGCAGCCUCCACAGCCCAACCACCUGGCGAAGCACCCUGGCACGGGGCCAGGCCAUUUCACCAUGCAGCUGAGCAGCGGCGGAGGCUUGGGUUCUUGGGCAACGGCAAAUGGAAAAAACAAAACACAACAGCGCACGCCGGAGAUAAGAAGCCUCAGGUGCUAUCUUCCAGCGCCACUUGGUUCGGUUUCCCAACUGCUGCAUUUGUAUGGCUUCGGGGACAGGGGCUCCGAGUGGACAGGGCCAGCGGUCAGGUGUCUGUGCGUUGGGGGGGAGGGUCCAGGGGGCGGAAAGCAAAGAGCAGACAGGACGCGGGACCGAGAGUGGCCAAGAGGGGCCUGGCGCACCACCACAGACAGGCGGACUCCUCCAGAGUGCCCACAACACGCCAGUCUAUAAGCACCAGUGAUAUGGGAAGCGGGCACGGGGACAAGGAUGAAGGAGGACACUGUCUCUGCUGUUCCCUCCUAUCCCCUGGCUGGAGAUCAGCUCAGGCCUGACCACACCAGCACCCUCCCACCCCCACCCCAGGAACCCAAAGAAGGAUGACGACGCUUAGAAGGGCAAGAGGGGGUCAGGGGAAGGAGGAAGGCAGCAGAUGAUGCAGGAAGUGAGGCUUUUGUGGCUGUCUUUCUCAACGUGGCCAGAGAUAGAGCGUAGGGUGGAGGUUUGGCAGCUUGCACGGAGAAACCAGCCGCUGACCAGAGGGUCCCGGCCGGGCAUCUGGGCGGGGGGUGACUUCACUCAUGUUGCUACCUUUGAAGCAACGCAGGAGAAGCUUGGGAAGUAAGACAAGGCUCCUCUCCCUCAUCCUCUGUUAACGUGAGACCUAGUGGUCCCAAAAUACCCCAGAAGGACUACAAAAGGGAGAAAGAUAGCCAGCGAGGUCGCACACGUGGCCAAAACUCAACAACCAGCUGGUCUCACAAGUGAGCUGGGAGUCACUUUCUCACGUCGCUGGGCUUUGGAGCAUUACCAGCACUAGCCUUCUCGCCUCCUCUCUUCAAGAGAGAUCACAUACUGUAACAGAAGCUGUACCUGCAUUGGAGGAAAUACGAAAAUGCAGGUGAGCAGGAACUGAAAAAUAACAACUAUGCGUGUCCCCACUCGGGAGAUCGCCACCUGUACACAACCCUUCCUGAGCUCUCGCCACGCACGCGUGUAUGCAUCUGUCUUUUUAAUAAAAAUGAGAUCAGAGCAUACGUGUUUUUCUACAAUCUGCUUCUUGCCGGCAGGCAUCUUCCUUCAGAAAGAGGAGCUGGCAGGGCGGGGCAGUCUGGGAAGCUGAGGCCGGGGGGCAUAAAGCUGGCCAUCAAGGGAGCAGGCCCUGCCCCGUCCCGCCCCCCCCUCCAGGCUGUGAUGCGGCCCUUUUGUUGGGGGAAGGUGGGGGGGGGGAUGAUCUGGAGAGGAGCAAAGUGAAACAGGGAAUCAGAAUUUCUAAACACUUCCCCAGGAACAGAUUGGCAGUCGGUAGGGGAAGUUCCUUCCAGAAGCUUUAUAAGGAUUCUUGUUCCAUUUCAGUACGUGUGUUGGGAUUAAACACUGCAGACAGAUCUUCGGAGCAACCUGUAUCGUCCAGUGCUGCCGAACUGCUUGCUUAACUCAGGGACAUGUGGGUUUUGGAGGGAAGUUGUGGUCAAACUGAAAUCCCCAACAUGACUGUACAAGAGUUAGAAGCCCUCCUUGGAAAGCCCAAGGAGACCCCAACCAUCCCAGCUGGGAAAAUCAAACCUGGGGCUUUAAACAAAGCUUCUUUAGGCGCCGAGCAAAGAGCUCAUUUUCAACCACGACAUGGAGAAGCUACAGAAACCAGAUCUAAAAAGAAAGAAGGAAACAAGAGUAACAUCACAUUUCCCUUACUGUGAAGGCUUACCUAAACAGAAAAGAGCGAUGAUAUUUGUAUAUGCAUGAGAAACCACUCAGCCAGACCCUCAGUGAAUUCCUAAGUCCGUGGUUAAGUGUGCAGCACAAGUGAGAGCAUUUCUGGCCGUGUCUGACUUCCCAGCACACAGACCACAUCUAUGGGAAGCGGGAGAGAAGGGCCAGGAGCAGCCCAUCUAGAGAUGUCACUGUGGGGGGAAAAAAUAAGGAAGAGGCUGACUCUUUGUAGCAGCAAGGAGGAAAAGGGUGAUCUCAAGUGUGCGUGUAUGCGCGCGCGCGCGUGUGUGUGUGUGCGCGCGUACAAAAAGAGUAGACAGCAGUUACUCAGUUAUUCGAUUCUCAAGAACCUGCAGUUAGAAGAAAAGGAAGUGGUGUGAACUUUUCACCUUUUAUCUGAAUUCUCUGAAGAGUUCUGCAGGAUUUCAACAUCCUUAAAACAAAAUACUAGCAGUUAGUGGUUGGAUCACGCUUUCCUUUGGGAUCUACUUGGACUUUGCACGCGUAGCAUAAAUAGCACAUAGCCUAGCCCUCUCUUACAAACAAAAAAAUCCCCACCCACGGUUAUUUGGGAGUGAGGAAUCUCUGGGCGGCCUAUAAACUCGGAGGACGGGCACAAACCCCUCUGUAUUUUCACUUCUCGCAACAAUCUGAUUCCUAUCAAGUCAAGAAGGAAUCACAACAUCCAGUCAGCUCCCAGGUAGCCUUGUAAGAUAAACUGAGGGAAAGGCAGCAUCAGAGACUGAGAAGGUUCGUCCACAACAAAUCCUACGAGGGGACACCUGUGACUGAAACUCAGCGAUUCCCGCUCUGAAUGUGUGCGCCCCAUACUCUCGUGAACUCUCCUACAGAACAGGAGGCAGAGUUUCCGGUGUGUUACGGGUGGGGGGCCUGUGAGACACCCUCGUGUAAAGAGGCAAACUGAUUUCUCCGGGGCCCCACAGACAAUGGAGAUGCGGAUCUUUUUAAUCCAGGAGAAGACUUUUGAGGGUAUAAUUCCCACCCCCGUCCUCCACUGUCCGGCUCCAGUCUCUGACUGGCUGGCUGCCUUGAUUGAGGAACGGCUUCCACGGGUUAGAAGAGUUCUAGUCCUUUCCCUCGCUAGGAACCAGGGUGAUCAUACCUGGGUCUCAGGAACACUGUUUUACCCGCUGGGCAUCUUGGGCGGGACCCAGGGGAAGAAAAAGACAAUUUAAAAAAUGAAGAGAUUCCUUUUCUGGUGAGGAGAAUGCAAAGUGGGUGAAAGAAAGAAAAGAAAUAAGAACUCCAAAUCAUCAAAAUAAUGUCUGCUUUGUGAACAAACUAGGACUUAGUUUUAGUUCCAUCCAGCCUGCCUUCUCCCUGAUCUCAAGCAAACUGCUGGACAGCAAUAUCUGUAGAUAUCAAUGAUAAUGUAGAAGAAUGGCCUUAUUCUCAGGAGCCGCCACUGACGUUAAGGGUGAAGUGUCACGAUAUUUGUAAUUUCCAAACAGUUCACAAAAAACAAACAAAACACACAUACGGAUGCACACGGUCUAAAACCCUGUUAGGGUCCCUCUGCUCAGCCCUCGCAGCCUUGCAAAGCUGCAUGGACCAUGCUGUCCCACUUGUGCAAAAUCUUCUCUGGUUACAACCAUCUCCUUCCGCCAGUUCUACUGCGUCCCCCGGCUGCAAAGAGGAGAUACCCAAGAGACUGCUACAUCCCACCGAGUGGUUCUCCACCCGGCCUCGGACAUUCUGGAACUGACCUAGCCUAACCUCAAAUCCCAGGCAAACUCCCAGGCUGUUGCCCUACCGGUGGAAAAACCCCAAAGUGUGCUGGGCAACAUUCCAGGACAGCCCCUGCAAUGCUGCCCUGAUCUCUCCGGUUGUUCAGAUGGGAGGCUCAAAGGUUAUGCAGUGCCUCCCGGGUAAACCUAGUCUGAAAAGCAAGAUUAGAUGGACCCUCCAGAAACAGCCUCGAAAGGUAUGAUGAUUUUUGUACCCAAAAGACCAAGACCACUGGUCUUGCCCAAGACCACGUGUAUGCCCAAGACCACUGAUGACUUCAGAGCAGAAGGACGCUUGCCAGGUCACCUCUCUACACGUGCUUGCACAGACAGAGGUGGACGGGGCAAUACGUGUCACUGGGGGUAAGUUACGCCACCUUCCCCGUACGCGACGGGCUUUGUGCCUGCUCUUAAAUCAAGGGCUGUUAAAUAGUAUUGGUAUCUUCUUUUAUAAGUCAGGCGAAGAAAAGGUUUAGCCGCCUGAAGCAAAGGAAAAUUUGAUCCAGAGAAACAGUUUGGGAGGUCAAUUACCAAGACGUCCUAUCUGUACCUCUGAGAACUGGAACCGAGAGGUGCCCGGGGGGCAGUCCAUUAAGUGUCUGACCUCGGCUCAGGUCAUGAUCUCCAGGUUGUGAGUUCGAGCCCCGC